GAGCCACUCGAGUGCUCGGGGCCCACUGGGCGACGAGUAGCAGACAUGCUCGCCUAUUCAAGGCGCAGUGUUCCUCGCCUACGCGCUGCUACGACAUUUCCAUACACCGGUGGAGACAGUAUUCCCGAAAGAGUGCAGCGAGGACUCAGCUACCAAUAAAAAGCCAACAUAGGGUAUAUCCUUAUUUCUGCACGGCAAGGAGAGGAGAGAAGGGAAAAAAAAACCUUGCUAGCAAUCAAUCAGCAAAUGAAAUAGGAGGAAUUCGAGUGUAAGGCCCCCGUGUAGAUUUGGGAGCUAAACAGUAGAAUAUUUGGUUUGGGGAGGAGGGGGGAGCUUUAUGAUGACAAAUAAAGGCACUGCCCUGCAAGA